CAGAGGAGCCAAGCGUUGUCCGGAUUGACUGGGCGUAAAGCGCACGCAGGCGGAUGCGCGCGUGGGGUGUGAAAUCUGGCCGCUUAACGGCCAGGCGCCAUCCCAUACGGCGCGUCUGGAGCAAUGCAGAGGUCGGUGGAAUUGCCGGUGUAGUGGUGAAAUGCGUAGAGAUCGGCAGGAACACCCAGGGGGAAACCAGCCGACUGGGCAUUUGCUGACGCUGAGGUGCGAGAGCGUGGGGAGCGAACCGGAUUAGAUACCCGGGUAGUCCACGCCGUAAACGAUGGCCACUCGGCCUUUGACGACGGAACCUCCGUCGGUGGGGGCCUUAGCUAACGCGGGAAGUGGCCCGCCUGGGACUACGAGCGCAAGCUUA
rnacentral:rRNA from 1 species